rnacentral:rRNA from 1 species
GACUCUUAGCGGUGGAUCACUCGGCUCGUGCGUCGAUGAAGAACGCAGCUAGCUCCAGAAUUAAUGUGAAUUGCAGGACACAUUUGAUCAUCGACACUUCCGAACGCACUUGCGGCCCCGGGAUUCGUCCCCGGGGGCUACGCCUUGUCUGAACCGUCG